rnacentral:rRNA from 1 species
UGGGGAAUAUUGCACAAUGGGCGCAAGCCUGAUGCAGCCAUGCCGCGUGUGUGAAGAAGGCCGUCGGGUUGUAAAGCACUUUCAGCGGGGAGGAAGGCGGUGAGGUUAAUAACCUCACCGAUUGACGUUACCCGCAGAAGAAGGACCGGCUAACUCCGUGCCAGCAGCCGCGGUAAUACGGAGGGUGCAAGCGUUAAUCGGAAUUACUGGGCGUAAAGCGCACGCAGGCGGUCUGUCAAGUCGGAUGUGAAAUCCCCGGGCUCAACCUGGGAACUGCAUUCGAAACUGGCAGGCUAGAGUCUUGUAGAGGGGGGUAGAAUUCCAGGUGUAGCGGUGAAAUGCGUAGAGAUCUGGAGGAAUACCGGUGGCGAAGGCGGCCCCCUGGACAAAGACUGACGCUCAGGUGCGAAAGCGUGGGGAGCAAACAGG